UCCAGACUCCUACGGGAGGCAGCAGUGGGGAAUAUUGCACAAUGGGGGAAACCCUGAUGCAGCGACGCCGCGUGAGCGAUGAAGUAUUUCGGUAUGUAAAGCUCUAUCAGCAGGGAAGAAAAUGACGGUACCUGACUAAGAAGCCCCGGCUAACUACGUGCCAGCAGCCGCGGUAAUACAUAGGGGGCAAGCGUUAUCCGGAUUUACUGGGUGUAAAGGGAGCGUAGACGGUCCUGCAAGCCAGAUGUGAAAGCCCGGGGCUCAACCCCGGGACUGCAUUUGGAACUGUAAGGCUAGAGUGCCGGAGAGGCAGGCGGAAUUCCUAGUGUAGCGGUGAAAUGCGUAGAUAUUAGGAGGAACACCAGUGGCGAAGGUGGCCUGCCGGACGAUGACUGACGUUGAGGCUCGAAAGCGUGGGGAGCAAACAGGAUUAGAUACCCCUGUAU
rnacentral:rRNA from 1 species